AAAAAAAACCUCAAUGAAGAGAGAGAAAUUCUGUGCAGGACUGGGGUCAAUUUACGACAAAUACUUUAUAGCCAGGCUUGAAUCCUAUGCAGGCAGAGGAAAUUUUUAAGGAGUUGCUUAUAGUUUCACUCCCAUGAUAAUGGAUCCUUCUGGCAGCAAGGCAGAAGAAAUGUGCUUACUUCAUACUAUGCAGAAGACCCUGGAAACUCAGAUUCACCACCUGGCAUAAUGACUCCAGAGAGACCAAACGUAACAGUCACCAGUUGGGCUGCUUUCUUUUCCAUUCCAGUUUCACACAACAAAGGGAUCUGCUGAUUUUAUUUGUUAUUUAUUUAGACUCUAAGAAAGCCCGGUUUGGAAAAUAUUAUCCUGUCCAGUAUGCGUUUCUGCUAAUGGCAGCUCAGAGUAAAUGUGCUGUUUUCCCUCCCUGAGACUGUGAAGUAAGGUCGCCCACAGUGUAAACACACUGAAAUACGCAGCAAUAAUCAGAAUCAUAAGAUCGCAGAAUGGCUUAGGUUGGAUGGGCCUUAAAGAUCAUCUAGUUCCAACCCCCUGCCAUUGGCAGGGCUGCCACCCACCAGCUCAACUGCCCAGGGCCCCAUCCCCACUGGCUUUGAGCACCUCCAGAGAUGGGCACCCACAGCUCUCUGGGCAGCCUGUGCCAGCGCCUCACCACCCUUUAAACAAAAACUUUCUUCCAAACAUCUAACCUAAAUCUCCCCUCUUUUAGUCUAAAGCCAUCUCCCCUUGUCCUGUUGCUAUCAGACCUUGUAAAAAGUCAAUCUCCCUCCUGCUUGCCAGUUCCCUUCAAUUAGUGGAAGAUUGCACAAGAGUUUAGCCUUCUCUAGUUAAAGCUAGUGAGGAUUUUGUUGCUGGGAGCUGGCUAUAAUGGAAUACAAAUCAGGAACUAAAACAUUUUUUUUUGACUUUGAGCCAAAUCUAAAAGAUACUAUAGCUCUGCACCAGACCAAAGCUGCAAGCUCAAAAAGCUUCACUUCCUUGCACCUACUUUUGUGUUUGCCUGACAUGCUGAGACACUUUUCCAGGUGGAUGAAGCUCUCAGCACCUAUAAAGAGCUACAGUAUGGCCACGUCUGUCUAACUGAGCCAGAAUGUGACAAGUCCUUGUGCAGUUUCUCCAGCCUGUAGAUGUUACUGGAGUGAAUGGAAAGUCUCUGGGUAAGUUUCCUUGUUAAAAUGCAGUUAUAGUUCCCUUUGCCUUUAGGACUUUGGAAAAGAAAGGGCUUGUGAUGGUUGUUUUCCAUGUAAUGGUGGUACUGCUGAGGCUUCUUUCCAGCAAGUGGAUGACCCAGGUUUAUACUCGUCUGAGCAGGAAAGCCCCUUUUCCAAAUAUUUCAGGCGAAUAUCCUAAUCAGUAAGAUGGGAAAUCAAAGAAGGAAGCAGAUUAUGAUGUUUUAAAGGGGAACACCUGCAUCUAAUGCCUUCUCCAGGGACUGCACCAUAAGCAAGAUCGUGUUUGAAUAGCACAAAUGCUAUUCCUCUGCCGCUGUUUGAAAACAGGAUAUGAGAACGAGACUCAGUUACUCAACAAGACCUAUGGGUAUCUGGUUUUGGGAAACUUCUCUGGGCUGGGUCUCCAAAAGUUCUGCAGCCUGUUGACCAGCAAGAAGCAUCCCUGCACUAUGGGGUGGCCACAUUUAAGACUUCCCCAGUGUAACACAGGGCACAAGCCUCAGCAGUGUUUCCUAAUUUAUAGCUCAAGGCAGCUCCCUGCUCUGGCACUCAUGGGGUCUCUACUGGGUUCCAGAGGGCAAUGAGCAAACUGAGGGCCUAGGUAUGUAAUCUGGGGUUCUCAGUUGUCCAGUGCUGCUGGACAGGUAAAAAACAGGUGUCACAGUGACCAACAGUGUGGAUAGACAGCAGGGUGAAAGGGUGUGUGGAGCUCCCUUCUUUAAUAGCGCUGCAGUGACACAUAUGUUAUUAGCAUGUGACUGGAUAAAAAGUUUGAAAACAAUGGGCUGCUGAUUGUUCUCCUCACUCUUUAGGUCUUUUAGUUCAUAGCACUCAAAGAGUGUACUGUCUACCUUAAAAUAGAAUAGAUAUAGGUAUUAAGAACAAACAAAAGAAACCAAAGGAAGAAAAACCUCAUCAACCAACCUAUCGCUCAUUAGCUGAGAAAAGCAGCUUUAUGUUACUGUCCAUUUAAGACCUUACUAACGCAGAUUUCUGUACAUAUACAGAAUUACUUGUAAUGAGUAAUGGGCAGUAUAUUUAUGGAAUCAAUAUUAAAUUGGCCCUUAAGUAGUUUAAAUUCCUUUGAAGCAGAUUCACAAGGAACACUAGGGCACUCUGACAUCCAGUUGGUACCAAGCUGGGGUCAACGUUACCGAGAGUGUAACUAAUUUUAACACAUAGAUAGACCUGAUUGUAAGAUGGAAACUCAUCUGACCUAUUUUGGAUUUCUAGUUUUGGGUAAGAUGUGCUAUACACUGAAGUGCCUCUUUUUCACAACUCAUUUUUCCAUGGCUUACUCACUGGGGACUUCAGGUUUUCAGCAUCUGUGGUUAGUUUGCAUAAAUCCUACCUCAGAGUCCAAAUAGGAGCUGGGAAUAUCAUCACUAAGUAUUAUGCUCAUGUUGCAGUGCGGAGUCUGAUUUGUUGGAGCUGGUAAUAGGUAACUGUGCCAGGGUGUGUUCCUGUGUUCAUUUCAGGAUAAGCAGUUUUCUGCCUUCUUUGAAACAAUGUGAUCACUACAGAAGUCAGCCCUACAAAAUCCAGGGCCAAACUUUCUGAAAGGGCUUCAAUACCCACCUCCUCUGGAAACGAUGAGAAAUAGGUGCUUAAUUUCUUCUUGAGGCGGGGACUGUUUCAUGCCCAUGCAGGGCUGCAUUUAAUGUCAGGGGGCUUCGAUCUCGUUUAUGCAAGUAGUGCUCUUUCAUAAAAUCCUGGUAUCUGAUUGACAUAUAUUUGAGCUUUGCCUGUCACUUCAAAUCCAUUCUCAACUUUUGUCUUGCUAUUCAAUGUCACUUUUAGGUUGAAGUGCAUUUUUCCGGCAGCUACACAGCAGUUUCUAUGGGUUAAUCAUAGGAUGGCUUGGGUUGGAAGGGAUCUCAAGGAUCAUCAAGUUCCAAACCAAGUUAACACAUAUUUUAUAUGAAAUAGUGCAGUAAGCAAAUUCAUAAUGUGUCUAUUGAAAGAAACUGUGGUAUAAGUUGAUUAACCAUUGUAUCCACAUCCUUAAGGGAAUUUCAAUAAAAGUCACCUGAUUCUAAAGGACCCCUAACUAUGUAAAUGAGAAUAGGAUCACCUUUAAGCAUCGUGAACACUGGCUGAAAUUUAAUGGUCCUGACUUAUACAGUUGUGUAAAGAAAAGGAUUUUAAUUUUUAUUAUUGCUGUUAUAAUUCAUGAAAGUGUUAGAGCUCUCACAUCAGAGUAAAAAUGUCACUAAAACAUCAUUAGUUUGGGCAGAAAUAUAAUUAGUAUAAUGGGCAUAUACACUCGGAACAGCUGCUUUUUUGACAACAUUAAAUCCAUAGUCACUUUUAUGCAGAUAACCAAAAUAGUAAUAAUAAUAGUAUUACUUUUCUAUCAUGAAAUCCCUUUCACCAACACAGCAGAGUGUGCAGAAUUGUACAUUCUAAGACCUGUUUUUUAAGAGGUAAGAAAUUCUGAAUUGAAACACUUCCGGAAAAAAAAAAAAAAAUCACUACUUACAGGAAAACAAAGCAAAACAAAGAGACAAACCCAUGACGGUCCUACAUUCUGCUACGAUUCAGCUCCUUCAUCACUGGCAAGAUAUUUGCUCCAGCAUAGUUUUCUCAGAUAGAACAGGCUCUCUGUAACAUGCCCAGGCAUAACUGACCUGGGGGAGGACAUUCUUACCCCAAUCCCUAAAGUCUUCCGAGGCCUGACAUAUCUUUGACCUACUUUAGAGUGAGCAGGAUAUCUAAUGCAGUUUAGAUUCAACAGAUGUUCAAGAGAUAAAAAUAGAGGAAGUGAGACGCAAUUCUUCACCAGAAAAAAUGCAAUGCCUAACAUACAAACACAUUCCAAUACAUUCUCAAUCUUCAAAAAAUUCUUGGUAUUUUGAUGUUGAAUGUCCUUGCUGUACCAGGCAUGUUACUCUUCUGUCCAAUAGGAGUUUCAGAGAGGUCAUAAAAACAUCCUGGAGUCUUGUCUUUGCCCCUGUAUGCAAUAACAUGACUGCAUGCCAAUGUAUAUGUUAAAAAUACAGAGGAAGAAACAAAGAGACCGAGUCAGUGCUUCAAAACAACAUCUACAGCCAUGAUUAGAGCAGUCCUCAGAGUUCAGCUCUCCAGUCUGCUCCAUCUGGAGAACGUGAAAUCCCUUGUCACAUCGCACAUUGUUUCAGGAAGUGAUGGCAAAAGUCUGAAGUGGGCUCUGGCCAAGGCCAUGGCCAUUCAGCAAGGCCAGCAGGCCUGGCUCCCUGCCUGUGGACAGAUGCACAGCUGACAUCUGUGUCCUAUUUGGCCCUCACUGCUGGAGUAACCCCACCGAUAGGCUCUCAGUCUCAGGCAGGGAAAGGUUCUAAUCAAAACAUUCUAUCCACAGUAAAGAUAAAAUGGAGUGGUUUUGUGCAGCUGUGUGUGCAUGAGUGCAUUCGACUGCUGAAACUCUUAGAAAGAUUAGAUACAGAAUAAGUAAUUUUUCCCCUUUUUAAAAUUUCACACUUAAUUUAAAGCUAUGAAUUUCCAUUUAAAACACUUUGUUCACCAUGUGAACCAUAAACAGUUUAUUCAAUAAUGCAUCCUCUGAAACCAAAACACUGUUUCUGUGAGUAGUGGACUGGCAUGGUGAAUGCAUGAUCCGUGUAUAUACAGAGUGGUUAAACAAAUAAGCACUUGUGGUUAUCUAAAUAUUAUGAAGAGUUAUCUUCUGCAAAAGGCAUUUCUAUUUUUCUUCUUUUGUGUAAUGACUUAAUACCAAAAUAUUAUUAAAUACAUUAAAAAACAAAACAAAACAAAACACCCACAGGUACAUAUUCUGCAAGUCAAGAAUAUAUUAAAUGCAUUAUGCUCUGUUUACCAGAAGUAAUGAUCUUAUGCUGACACAGUUCAUCCUAAAAAUAUGCUUUCUAAAAUAUUGUCUCACAAAUGAAAAAAUGGGGACACACAUGAAAAUUAUAGCUGAAUAAUUGCAUUUAUGGCCUAAAGUUACAACAGCCAGAAAAGUUGCAGAUAAGACAGGGCAUGCUUUUUACUGCAGAAUUUCCUGACUCUUUGGUUUCUAUCUCAUCCUUAAUGCUAUCUCAGUGCUAUUUUAGCCUGUGAAUUGAAUUUUCUUUUAAUUUGAGCAGAUCAUAUAUUCAUUUGUAGAUGCUCUAUCUUCAUCAAUCAAUACAUUACGCCAGGCAGCUUCAUCUCCUCCUGAAAGAUAACCUUGGAUUAUGUCAUGGCUCAAUUCCGCAUUGCCCCUGCAGAGAUAAUGAAUUCGCACAUGUAAGAGGAUCAUUUACCAAUGGGGGUGGGAUGCUGUUUUGAGCAUAUCAUUUCCAUCUGCCACAGAAUGAUUCCAUUUGCACAAAUCAAUCUCCUGGAGGAGGAUUUCUUAGCUACAGUAAGCACACUGUAGGCACUGUGUAGCAGAGUGUGUCGUCUGACAGGAGAGAAAGCAGGGAUCACAUUGCUGUUGCCCCUGAAAGUCAUAGCUUUGCUUCCCCUCACACCAAGCUCGAGAACAAUUCAAGGAUGGGGCAAACAAGGCCUUCCUUCUCCUUUUGAGGGGCUGUGGCUCUUCAGAGGUGAGAGGAGGAAUGCUUUCUUGUUCGGGUGGUCUGGUACAAGCACAGACAUAGCUGAACCACUUCCAAAAAGGCUCAGUCCUAACUGUGACAAACUCUGUCAGAUGCAAAAACAGGUACUGCUGUGAGAUGGCCUCUUUCGUACAGACUUAAGAUUCCAUUUAAUGGCUCCCAGAGGAGAAUUGAGCCAGUAUUUAAUUAAUGUGACUAAAAUUAUGCAUUUCAUCAACUGUACACCAUAUAAAUCGCACAUAUCACAUUGAAAAAUGAUGCUCUUCAAGCAACUUUGCUUUUAUGGAGUAAAGUUUGCAAGAGCUAGUGCAAAUGAAUGCCUAAGAAAGGCGUGGGCUCCCGGUGUGAACAAGGAACAGUCACAUACCAGUUCAGUGACUGCAAGUCAGGCAUCAAUAGCCAAUGUAAAGUAGAUCAUAUUACAUAUUACACCAGUUAUCAUAUGCCAGCAAGGACAAAUUAUGCACAAGGAGAAAGGAAUGAUAGCAAUAGCUGAGUGUCUUAUGGGCUAUGAGUAUUUGCAUCCCCUGCAAAAUUUUGGAAGAAUUGCAUCUGCACUUUUCCGGUGUUGUCCUCCAUCUUAGGCACGAGACAGUGGUGAGUUUGCAAGAGCAGGACAGGACCUACUUGAGUAGUGUGGGUGCUGCUUAGUGGAGCCACCUUUCUUCCCAAGUGGCUGUGCGUGCGUAUAGCUCAAAAAUCAUGGGUAAAGUACGGUUUCAAGGAACUCACUGGAUCCCGCCAUUUCAGUUCUAAUUGUUGCAAAGAAAACAAAGGCUCCCUCAGUUCAUUUGCAACCAUAAAUUUCAUUUUCUAUAUAGACCUCUGAAGACCUGUAGCGUGUUUCUAGGUGUAGCUGCUGUUGGACUGGAAGUUUCUGUGGCUUCUCCACUUACAUGGAUUAUCAUAGUAUAUGCAGGGUCAGAAGCAACCUUUGUCUUGGUGGUAUAUUGUGUGCAUUCAUGCAAUGUGUGGGGAGGACAGAAGAUCUCAAUUUAGUGCAAAUUACAAAUUACAGGCAAACAUUUCAUUUGGUAUCCUUUCACAUUCAUAUUCAGAAAAAAAUUGUAUUUUUUUUACACAAAGCCCACUUUUUCUGUUGUAUUUCAAUCUAUUGCAUGUCAUUGUUCAGUCCACAUUGUGUAAUGCUGUGAUCAUAUCAGCUGUCAUAAAGGAUAAUUUAGUAAUAACAAAAUGUGUCCUGAUGCAGCUUGACAAGAUGAAAUUUGCAAAAAAUAAAUAUGGUUCCUGGCCAAUAUGCAUUCACUGUAAUGACUUCAGGCAUCCCUCCCUUAAUGAAUUACAAACCAACAAUAGUCUUCUGAUUGGUUUUUGGCUGCAACAAACAGGGAAUGGUAUGACUAUUAAAUAUCUAUGGGACAUACUUCACACUGGCGUACAGACUUAUGGAGAGGUGACACAUAUACCAUGUAGUUCUUAACAGGUUAUCCUGAUUACUUCUUCUGGUUCUCACAGGUAGGCAAAAAGUAUGAAUUCACUGGAGCAGAUUUUUCUUUUGGAAAAACAUAAAUCAAUCUGAAUUCAUUGAAACUGUGUUUUUUUUUUAAGAGAAAGUGUUCAUAAAUCUUGGAGAUAACUUUUAUUUUUUUAAAAGAUCUAUAUUUUAUGACAGACAGUUUAAAUUUGCACCUGAGACCAUAAUAGUUCCUAUGAAAGGAGAAUGGAUAACAAAUGGAAUGGAAGGACUCCCAUUAAGCAUAAAAUUACUCAACAAGAACCACCGUGAAUCAAUUAAUCAUAAUGUAACAGGACUUUAAUUUUUGGGCAUUCUCAAAAUCCAAAAUGUUUACAUCAUUUUUCAUAGUAACAAAUAUGAUUAUCAUUGUUUACAGCUGAUGAAACACAUGAUUUUUAUCACAGUAAUUAAAUACUUGUUCAAUUGUUUUGAUUUUUUUUUAAAUUUAUUUUCUAGUAGUCUUCAAAUUGAAUUCUAAGGCUAUCUAUAAGGCUGUCUAAAGGAGACUGUGACAAUGAUGCCCUUCCACCCUUUAGAUCGUGUGCAAAAAGGAUCAGAAAAAUGAAUUUACAGGACAGCAUGAUCAUACAAGACAUAUGUGUAGUUUAGAGUAAGGCUUGGAUCCAGGUUUGUUGCAGAGAAAUAACAUAAUGCAUUUAGGACUACAGUAAGACUAUUAUAAAUAGAUAGUUUUAUUUCAUAGAAUCAUAGAAUGGUUUGGGUUGGAAGGGACCAAUAAGAUCAUCUAGUUCCAAGCUCCCUGAUGUAAGCAGGGACACCUCCCACUAACCAGGUGCUCAAAGCCCCAUCCAGCCUGGCCUCAAUGCCUACAGAAAGGAGGCAUCCACAACCUUGCUGGGCAACCUGUUCCAGUGUCUCACCACCCUCACAGUAAAUAAUUUCUUCCUAAUAUCCAGUAUAAAACUACCUUCUUCCAGUUUAAAGUCAUUUCCCCUCAUCCUGUUGCUACGUGCUUUUAUAAAAAGUCUUUCCCUAGCUUUCCUAUAGGCUCCCUUCAGGUACUGGAAGGCCACUAUAAGGUCCUCCUGGAGACUUCUCUUCUUCAGGCUGAAGAACCCCAACUCUCUCAGCCUCAUUUGAAUGAGAAUAUUAUUUUGUCACCAGUGCUUCAGAUUUGUCCCUCAGUUAUUUAUCUCAGUAUUAUUUAAACAUUCAAAAUUAUUGACACCUUCAUAUGCCAGCUAACAGGACUGCAUAUUAUUCAAGAACAGGUAGAUACAGAUAGGUAUAUUAGCUGUGUGACUGCAGAGGGCAGACUUGGCAUCACCAGUAUUUUUAUUUACAUGGAUUCACUCAGUAAGGAAUGCUAAUUAUUCAAAUAGCCUAAAAGAAGGUUCCUGAUUAUUGUCCCAUGGAAACAAAUGAUGCCAAAACCAAUUUUUGAAGAUAAUUUUCUUUGCAUUUUUUUGCAGAUUCCUAUUAAACUAAAAUUUUGAAAUGUAAAAUAGAAAUAAGAGCUUAAAGAAAGAAAACACUGAGGGCACUAACUUGUUUCAAAUUUUAUUUUAAAACCAAACAAAAAAAAAGAAAAAAGAAGAAAAAAUAAAAAGAAAAAGGAAAAGAAAAGAAGAAAAAAGAAAAAGAGAAAAGAAAAGAAAAGAAAAGAAAAGAAAAGAAAAGAAAAGAAAAGAAAAGAAAAGAAAAGAAAAGAAAAGAAAAGAAAAGAAAAGAAAAGAAAAGAAAAGAAAAGAAAAGAAAAGAAAAGAAAAGAAAAGAAAAGAAAAGAAGAGAAAAGAAAAGAAGACCAAUCAACCAACCAAACAAAACAGCCCUUUUUUUGAGCAGCCCAACUUACCACCCUUACCAUAGUGAAUCAGAUGCAGUGAACAAUAAAACCCACAAAUGCCUGACACACAUACUGCUGAGAAGGCUUAAGGAAAUACCAAAUGCAGAUCUUCACUCUCUGACAAGCAUGUGCUUCUAGCAUACUGUGUACUUCCAGCUCUGUAAGUUUGGAUAAUUCCAUUUGUGAGGUAGUUUUAAUGCAAACCAUAUCUAGAUACCCAAGUAGGUGGCUCUCUAUAUGCCAGACACGGUGAUAUGUUUCAUUAAACAAAGCUACCCUUCUUUGGAUAUACAAUAUUUUUUUUAGAGAAAUAUAUAAGAUCUCAGUACUAGUUGCAUUAUUUAGAGUUUGUAUACCUCAUGGAAUGUGACAUAAAUAUUAUUUCUUUAAAGCAACCAGAAAAGGCUAUUUGUCUCUUUUAGUAUGACUCAUACAAUAAUUCAAUUUACAUACUUAAAUCAAAUGAAUCGUCUGUCUCAUGCUAACUUCUUUCAACCUCUUUUAUUAUGAUAUAAGUUGUUUGUUUUGUUUCCAAAAUCUAAUACUCCAUCUCCCUUGUACUAUCAGUGUGUAUGAAUAAUGAAUAUUUGGUGCCUUUUAAUACCUCUUAGUUUAUCAUAACAGGCAAUGUCUUACAUCACAGCCAAUUUCAUUGAUUAUAUGCAAUUUACUGAAUAUGUAUGUCAUCUAGCCUGUAUUAGGCUGGGUUAUGACUGUAUAUAUAUGAACACUGCCAGCUGCUUUAGCACUUACAAGCUCCUGAUUAGCCAAAUUACAGUCUUGGACUUAACAAGACACAAAGAUAUGCUUUGUGCUCCUUAUGAUACUGCUCUUUGGAGAAAUAUUUUAGUACCUUUGGAACCGGCCAUAGCAUUGAAAACAUAAAAGCUAAUGGCCUUUAUGACUGAGAAACCAUGAAAGAAAUGCUGAUGUGCACAGUAAGUUAAAAUUAACACAGGUGCUUACAAUGCUUUUCCAUCAGCACAAAGUCCUUGAUUUAGAAGGCCUUAAGGUAGAUGGUUAAUUACUUGCUGAAUCAGGUUGAGAAUGCUUAUACAAAAGCCUUUGCUAAUUUGGAGGAAGAAAAGUUCAAGGCAAAUAUGUUUCAAGCUUUGGAAUGUGUAUGGAACUUGUGACAAAAUGAACAGAGUAAUUCCUGUAUCAGUGGGAGGCACUUUCCAUGCCUGUGGCCCUCAGGUUACCUGUGGGUUUUAAAAACAUGAUCCUCCAUCCUUAAUUCUUCCAAAGCAAGACUAUUGGUGGGAGGACAACAUCAGGAUCUUACCUGUGAGGCAGGCAGGUGUGGAUUUAUGAGGUGUAGAGAGAUUAGCUGCCAUUCAUCAUUACCAACCUGUGGCUCUUUCUAAACCUCAGGGUUUGGAGGGAAGGGGGAGCUAGGAGAUUGAAAAGCCUUUCCACAGAUAUUGCUGUAGUUUCCAAUACUUGCUUCCAGUACCAAGGCAGCCUCAGUUUUAUGGGUUGCUGGCUUCAAGUGGGCAUACUUUAUGGCCAGUCAAGUUCCAGAAUGUCCAGUUGCCUCUCUGAAGGGAUCAGCUUGGCCUUUCCUGGGGGAUCAAGGUAGGCAAUGGACCAUGGAGAGGCUUUUGUUCCAAUGGGAGCUGUCCUGGAGCCAGAAGCAAGGCAGAAGGAAAGAGGGAGAAGUUCUCAUCCUGGGCAACUUGGCUUUCUCAUGUGGCCAAGAGCCCUUUUUUUUUUUUUUUUUUUUUUUUUCCAUGGGUAAGCCCAGUGUGCUGAUGAACCAUGACAGAUUAUUCAAGAGCUUGUUUCCAAGGAAUAGUAAACAUAAAGGGCAGUGGGGUUCGUGAGUUAACAGUUGCAUACAUCAGAGUGUGGCACUCCUCUGUAGGUAUGUGACUUAGGAAAUCAGAGAAAGGUGCUGAAAAUCUUCCCGACAGAAAGCCCUGGUACACACAAAAAUUUCCAACUAUAUCCCAUCACCAGUGAUGAGGUCCCAAGUGCUGGCCCACAUCAUCGUGAUCGGGAUGGAAGAGCAAAAGAAGGCAGGGGAACCCGGGUCAGGUGCAGCUGUGGCCCUACUUAGGAAUUUUGUUGUAGAGCCAUCAGAGAAUUUCUUCCCUAGGAAACAUGGUGAGGUCAUGCAAGUGCUCAGAUCAGGCUCCAGUUGAGUCUUAUACUGAUUAGCAGAAGAUUUAAUUUCACUCUGAUUAAAAAAGAGCAGAUGAAGAGGUAUGCUGAAUAAUCCCUACAGGCAUGUAUCAGCUCCUAGGCAAACCUUUUUAUUCUGCUAUGGUGUAUGACAAAAGCUCUAAAUUUUAACUUGACAUUUUUUUUUUUCUGAAGGGCCCUUUUCCAUAAAUUUCCCAGGCUCUUGUUUUUGAGAUUGUUACUGUGCAGAAAGAAAACAUCCUUGCUGCUUGCUUAUUAGAAUAUAUUUAUUUAUCUGUACCAUACAACAAACCUUAUUUAUUUUCCUACAUUCAUAUAGUAAAUCCUGUAAAUAUGCUCUUAGUAAUCACCAACAUGAUUUUCAGGACUGUAAUUCAUAAAUGAAACUCAUGAAAAAUAUUUUUGUCAGUUUUAAAUAACUCUACACAUUUAAUACAUUGAGUCAUAUGCAAAUUUGAUUAAGGGAGAUAUUAUCUUCCUCUUGCUGGAAGUUUCACUCAUAAAUGAGAAGAUUAAUGUUUGUGAACAACUUUUCAAAAAAUCAGCUCAUGUCACAAGUUCUCUUUCUGCCUGCAAGAAAUUGAACUCCAAAAUAGGAUGGCACAAGUUAUGUUUCUACAUUUUCCAUUCCUUAGUAUAUCCACUACCACAAGAAAAUGUUGAAAUACUUCUGAACUAAGAUACAUCUGACAGGUUCCAAGGGCUAUAAAGCAAUGUACUAGCUUAAGGAACACACUGUUAGACACAGAGCUAUUGUUUAAAAGUGAAACAACCCACAACACACAAAAAAAGUUGUGGACAGCUACAACUUACGUAAGCUAGUAGCCAAACAAUGGGUUGUUCUCAUACAACAUUAACACUGACAUAAAUUCAUGGAUUUUAAGGGUUUCUGUCAAACAAGGAUUUUAGAACAUUUUGCUGGAAAUAAAUGCAUAGAUACAAGAGUUCAUCUAUGCGUGCAUAUAAUCAGAGCAAUGGUAUACAUACAUAUUUCCUAGUAAAAGAGAAGUAUACACUAAUGUGAAGAAAAAUAUAUUGCUCAAUAGUCUUUUGAAAGAAUUUCAUCAAAGUCCCUUUGACAUUUAAUAUCAUGGUGAUCUGUAAUCAAAUCUGGGACAAAUUUAGCACUCCCAUGUCUUCUUUAUUAAACGUAGGUGGUUUUCCUGCAUACCUUAAUAAAACAAUGGGAAUAGGACUUCCACUCUAGUUCAUGAGGGCAACUCCAGAAAUUUCUGAAACUCAUUCCUAAUUUAUUCCAUUUGCAGCUGUUUCUUUAAGGUUUCUCUUCUUUUAUCAGAAGAAACGUAGGAAUAAGGAACACUUCCAAGUAAUAAGUACACACCUAAUUUAUUACACCAGGAAAAGCAAUGUUCAGAGGCUCCAUGAAAGAAAUCUCACUCAAGUAGAUGAGUUGUUUCAUAUAAUGGCUUUGUGUUAUUGUUGUGCUUUGCUUUUUGUUUUCUGUUUUUUAUUUUUUGUCAGCUUCUCUCUUUAAUAACGGGCUUUUUUCUUCAUUGACUUCUUGCUGAACUCCUUUGUAGAUCUGUCACAUCAGAUUAGCUUGUUCAUGUUCACAAUGCCCUGUCUUCUGGAGAGUUAUGCCUGUAAGGAGAAUAAAACUCAUCCCUCAACUUCAAGCAGACAGAAAACACACCUCUGUCCAAGUUUCUCCAAGGCCCUUUUGUACAUAGAGCAGCGUGUUUCCAUAACAGAUGUUAUAAUGACAUUUCUCUCCCACUGCUUUCCAUGUGAGACGAAUGUGAAGGAGGUUCUUCAGAGGAGGUUUUUUUUUUUUUUUUUUCCAGUUAAACAAGGAGAACAGACACACUAGCACUCUAAAAUAUUUUUGAGCCACCCCUAUUGUGCAUCCAAUGGUCAGGAGCAAACUAAAUGCAUCCUGGGGCUUGAGGGUGACUUUCAGCCUGACAGAUUGAGGUCGUCUAGCACAGUUCGCCAAGUACUUGCACGUUCAGUAAAUCUCUUCAUUAGGGUACUCCUCCCUCUUUAGAUCUCCCAAGCUAGAAAAGCACAUUUGCAAAGACAAGUUGCUGCUGGUUGAAGCCCUUGGGCCAGUGAGUGGGUGGAGUGGCUGCCAUGGUUGUGUAAGGCUCUGGGCCACACAGCAAAAGCAGGGACCAAAGUCACUCACUGUGGAGCAGGGGUGAGCCUGGGGAGCAGACAGGAUGGCCAGCCAGAGGCUGCUGCCCACAGCAAGCUCUCCUUUUUGUGCUGUGGGACAGUUCAGUCAUUAUCUUCUCCCUCACCCACUCCCACCCCAUCUCUUUUUUAAUUUAACACAGAGGAUGAAAUUUUGGCUCAAUGUAAAUAGGAUUUUUACCACUGAUUUCAAUAUGGCAAGAAUUUCAUCUAAACCCUCCAUGCCUCACUGAAGACAAUAACACAAAGAACACUAUUUUGGAACGGAGAAAGGCACCGUAUUUGUGAUCUGCUUUGUUUAUUGUGUUUGGGGGCUUCAAGAUGUAGUCACCCACCCACUUCUUUAUUAAAUGUUAAUUUGGCUUUUGAAAGUUUUACAAGCUACAGUAAAACAAUAAUUAAAAGUUUGUACGCAAUUUCCAUAGCUGGUUUUCAUUCCUCAGGGAGUAUUAAUUCUGGUUUAAUUUGUUUUUCAUUUUCAUUGUGCAACUAAACACAGUUUGUUUUUAAAAGGAGGAUCAAACUGAUGCUGAAAUAUGCAUACAUGUGUUGGCAGGCACUUCUCAAGAAGGACUGCAACCUGUGAACUUGGACCUCAAACAACAAAUGUGCAGAGCUCACAUGAACUUGAAGUUGCCCUUUUUUUUGUGACAUCUAUAAACAUUUAUGAAGCUUUGUUUUUAUUCCAGUAAAUCUAUGUUGUUAUUUUGGGUCUUUUAAUAGUGUCUAUUUAUAUCGUGAAAUUAUGACAACUGCGUUGUCUUUCUGGAAAGCCACAGGUCAAGGGUCUGCUAAGCAAAUACUAACACAUGUGAGUAACUUCCCUCAUAUGAAUAAUUAGACUGAUCUUAACAGAGUGGUGUUUUUAGGAUCAAGCUCCCAAUAUUUUGACAUACUUCCUGAAAUGUUUUGUAGAUAGGAGCUGUUGACUUUCAUAUGGUGAAAAAAUAAUUUGAACGCCAAAAAGCCCCUCCAAAAGAAGGGAACAUAUUUGGGUCAUCAGGUCUUAACAAUUACAGUUUCACGUGUUAGCUUUCUUUUCCUAGGUACAAGAAGUGUUGGAAGAACAUUUACUCAGAAGAGAUCAAGUAGAAUUACUGUCAAAGGUUUGUGUAAGUUAGCAUAUAUAAUGCUUCCCCUGGUUGUAUGCAAAAACAUUUGGAGAUCUCUGUAUUUUUUUCCCCUCAUCUUCUAGGAAAAAUGAUGGAAUUAAUUACUACAACUGGGAUAUAUUAAAUUUUAUAACUUAUAUCAUGUACCUUUGCCAUGAAGAAAUAGAAAAAUGUAUACAUGGGAACAUCCCUUUAAUGAUAAGAACUACAAAAAUUCAUGCUUCCUAUGAUAAAUAUUAUUCUGUAUUUAAGGCUAUGCCUGGAUAUACUUCCUCUGUAGUGCAUGUGUUAUGAAAGUAAACAACAGUGAGACAGAAUUCUGAUCAUACAAAGUGUACAUAAACUUGAAGUUGUGUGGAAUAGGCAUCUUUCCUUAAAAAGAGAAUUUCCUCAUCAUCUACUGAGAUAUUAAAUUGAUUCUUGGAAAGGUUUUUGUGAAUACACUAAUCCAUUUUUUCCUGUCACUUGCACAGAUUCUUGAUGUGUUAGAAUGCAAUUCCAGUAAAAACUUCUCUCAGAAAAGCAUGUCAGGAACAAAUUAGCUCUUUACUCUUUAUUGAAAUAUAUUCAAGGGUUUGCCAUGUUGUCUUCUGUACCUUAUUCUCAAAAUAAAUAUUUUAUACUUAUGCUUAACUGCUGCUAGUAAAUUGCAGAAAUUUUUUGCUUAAGUUCAUUCUUGCAAUAAAGGUGGAAAAGUUUUGUAAUAGCUUGAGUGCAAAUUAAUAUCUAUGAAUGUCUGUAUCUUUUUCAUUUUUAACCUGAUAUUAAUUACUUCCUUUAUUUUACCUUGCUAAAAUAUCCUGCUUGAAAUAUUUCUUUAAGUAAAAUUCCACAAAGCUUGCAAAGAACCUGCAGUCCAGGUAGCAUACCAUUCCUGAUGGCAGAAAGAGCAUACUGUCCAUUAACGUUGAGUCCUGUGCGUGGUCUGUCCGGUGAUACACAAUGUCAUUUAAGACAUUUCAUCAUUCUCUGCUUGAGCACUCUUCUCUAAUCUGAUGAGGUACCCUGGGAAGAAACGAUGAUAGCCAAGGCAUUAAAAUGUAAUCAAGAUAUGCAAAUUCAUGUCUAAAUGUGAUUUGCUUGGAAAGAGAAAUUAAUCUAGGCAUGGCCAAAUAAACAGUGUGUAAUAUGGAUAAUUAAUCACCAAAUUAGCAGCUGUAGUCCCAUGAGAAGAUUAUGUAAAUGAAAAAGGCCCCCAUCUACGGUCCCAAUUAGACUACUUAAUACCAAACUCUAAACAAAACACAGCCCCUGGGAGCGCCAUAAAAUAAGGAAGUGAGUCAGUCUGAGUGGGUCAUUCUCCAAGUUUCACAAGCACGUUUCAUAACUACGUUAUUUUUCCUGAUUUACAGAAAGUAAUUUAUCAGUCAGAUAUAUCAGGCUCACUGAACAACUUGUAACCUUGAAAUUCCACUGAAGUUGCUUUACACAAACCUAAACUUCUGUGCAUACAACCUAAAUCAGCAGUUAAAGGAGACAGGCACUAGAGUGCAAGUCCUUAAUCCCAGGGCCCAGAGUAACAGGGAUCAAUACUGCAGGUAAAGGUGAGAGCUCCAGACAUAUGCUAGGUGCCCUCUGUGUAUUUGGAAAUUAUAUCCAGAAGUUUCAAUUACUGCUUUACACUUACAUUUCCAUAACAGAUCAGUCCUAUCUUGUUUCAGAAAAUGGUAUUUUCUCCAUAUUUCCAAGUACAAACCUUCCUGAAUUAAGUACUUUCCACUGGUUAACCAAAUUGAGGAUACCUUAUGUGAAUUAGGCUUGGGUAUGGUACAACCUGGCUCAUGACAGCAGAUAGUUUUCCCUGAGGCUGUGCAUCACACUAAGACCAUGGCCCUAUCUGGAAUACAUAAAAUAUUAUCAAGUUAAGAAACUUGACCCAUAGGUGAAGGGAUCUAUUCAGCAUUUGAUGUACAGCUUCCUUGAGACACUUCAGUAGGUCUGAUAGAUUCAGCUUAACACUGACUUGACGCAGAUGGAAAUAUGUUGACUUUUCUGAACACAAUUUUAGAUGUUUUUUGAUGAAAAAAUAAUAAUCUGACUCUUGUAUUCAUUUACAGUCAAAGCAAUUGUUCAAAUAUCAAAGUUGGCAAGGGAUUUGAAUUUCCAUCUUCUGAUGAACUUUACAUCAUUAAUUCCAUGGAAAGGAUCUUUGUGCAGUGUAGGACAGAAACUGCACAGUGCAUUCUCAGCCAAGAAAAGCAGAGCUUCGCACUUGUGAUCUCUGGUUAUCUGUUACUAUAAGCUUUUGAAGGUGGAAGAUACCCCUGAAAACACAACACUGUUGCAAACUAACUUAAGGUAGAACUGAUCUGAACAGUCACUGGGAGAGAAUACAAACUCCAUUCGUGGAAAAGAGGAGUUUCCUAUUUUUCUGAAAUGCUUGUGUUGGUCUUUCGAUGCUCUGGACUCCAAAUGACUUUCUACUUAUUCUACAUCUGUUCAGAAUAAACUGCACUCAUUUUAUUUAUUUAUUUUUUACUCCUUGUGAAGCUAUUUGUGGAUUCUUUAGGUAAGGUUUUCAAAUAACUUCUUUGUACAGCUAUGUAACACUUGUUAUAUAGCUCCUGUGCAAGGCUUCCAAAGCUGCACAGUAACAAGGUUAGUACAGAAUAUUCUACUCUUCUCACAGUUAGUUAACUGACAUACUGAGUGCAGUAGUUUCAUGUUGUGUUAUCAGUACAAUGAGGUAUAUUACUUUUGCAAACUACAGCAUGAGUUUUCUUGCUUAUGCCAAUUUUGUUUUUGGAUCUGAG
ensembl:lncRNA